rnacentral:rRNA from 1 species
CCCUUAGAUGUCCGGGGCCGCACGCGCGCUACACUGAAGGAAUCAGCGUGGCUUUCUCCCUGACCCGAAAGGGUUGGGAAACCCGUUGAAUCUCCUUCGUGAUAGGGAUUGGGGCUUGAAAUUGUUCCCCAUGAACGAGGAAUUCCCAGUAAGCGCGAGUCAUAAGCUCGCGUUGAUUACGUCCCUGCCCUUUGUACACACCGCCCGUCGCUACUACCGAUUGAACGGUUUAGUGAGGGCCUCGGAUUGGUCUCGGCCCGCUCUUUACCGGGCGGCGCCGUUGGUCGAGAAGACGCUCGAACCUGAUCGUUUAGAGGAAGUAAAAGUCGUAACA